rnacentral:rRNA from 1 species
AGGUGAUGUGGAGGGCGCAAGCCCAUAAACUGGUUGAUCCCAUACUGCCAAGAAAAGCCUCGUAGCGAGUUUUCCAGGUGACCGUACCGCAAACCGACACAGGUAGGCGAGGAGAGAAUCCUCAGGCGCGUGAGAGAACCCUGGUUAAGGAACUCGGCAAAAUGACACCGUAACUUCGGGAGAAGGUGUGCCCUCAUUAGGUGAAGAUACUUGCUAUUGGAGCUGAAGGGGGUUGCAGAGAAGAGGCGGUAGCGACUGUUUACUAAAAACACAGGACUCUGCUAAAUCGCAAGAUGACGUAUAGGGUCUGACGCCUGCCCGGUGCUGGAAGGUUAAGGGGUGGUGUUAUCGGGGGCAACCUUGAGAAGCGCUGAACCGAAGCCCCAGUAAACGGCGGCCGUAACAAUAACGGUCCUAAGGUAGCGAAAUUCCUUGUCGGGUAAGUUCCGACCUGCACGAAUGGCGUAACGACUUCCGCGCUGUCUCAACCAGGGACUCAGUGAAAUUGCAGUCUCGGUGCAGAUACCGAGUACCCGCGGCUAGACGGAAAGACCCCGUGCACCUUUACUACAGCUUGGCAUUGGAUUUUGGGCGUGUAUGUGUAGGAUAGGUGGGAGGCAAUGAAGUGGGGGCGCCAGCCUUCAUGGAGCCAGCGUUGAAAUACCACCCUUAUGCGUUUAGAGUUCUAACCUGGAUGAGUUAGCCUCAUUGGGGACAGUGCCUGGUGGGUAGUUUGACUGGGGCGGUCGCCUCCCAAAAGGUAACGGAGGCGCGCGAAGGUUCCCUCAGGCUGAUUGGAAACCAGCCGUAGAGUGUAAAGGCAGAAGGGAGCCUGACUGUGAGAGAGACAUUUCGAGCAGGGACGAAAGUCGGUCUUAGUGAUCCGGCGGUUCUGAAUGGAAGGGCCGUCGCUCAACGGAUAAAAGGUACGCCGGGGAUAACAGGCUGAUCUCCCCCAAGAGUUCACAUCGACGGGGAGGUUUGGCACCUCGAUGUCGGCUCAUCGCAUCCUGGGGCUGGAGCAGGUCCCAAGGGUUCGGCUGUUCGCCGAUUAAAGCGGUACGUGAGCUGGGUUUAAAACGUCGUGAGACAGUUUGGUCCCUAUCUACCGUGGGCGCAGGAAUUUUGAGGGGUACUGUCCCUAGUACGAGAGGACCGGGAUGGACGAACCUCUGGUGUACCAGUUGUCACGCCAGUGGCAGCGCUGGGUAGCUAAGUUCGGACGGGAUAACCGCUGAAAGCAUCUAAGCGGGAAGCCUUCCCCAAGAUGAGAAUUCCCCUCCGGAGCGAUCCGGGCUGAAGGCCCCUUGAAGACCACAAGGUUGAUAGGUCGGGUGUGUAAGCACAGUAAUGUGUUGAGCUAACCGAUCCUAAUGGGCCGUGCGGCUUGACCAU